GUUGUGUCAUUGUGUCAUUGUGUGGCUGUGUCGUUGUCGUGUUGUUGUGUUGUGUCGUUGUGUCAUUGUGUGGUGCGGCUGUGUGGCUGUGUGGCUGUGUUGUUGUGUGGCUGUGUCGUUGUGUCAUUGUGUCGUUGUGUGGCUGUGUUGUUGUCGUGUUGUUGUGUCGUGUCAUUGUGUCGUUGUGUCGUUGUGUCAUUGUGUCGCUGUGUCAUUGUGUUGUGGUGCGGCUGUGUGGCUGUGUC
rnacentral:lncRNA from 1 species